GUGUUGACGUAAACUUGCAAUAUGAUUUUUCGGUUACCAAUUUCAUUGAGUGUAUUAAAACUUUUGCCGUUGCUGUCCAAUUCAUAAAGGACAACCCAGGAACUUCAUAUUUUACUGACUUUAAACACAGCAUCAUGUCCAUUCUUGGCGCCGAAGAAGCCGAUGUCACCAUGGUGAAGUCUCGAAUGCCUGUCUUUGUGAGACUCGCGAGAAAACCUGACAAACAUUAAUUAAACAUCUCAAUUUGAAAAAGAGUGCCAUUUUCACCUCUGCCAUUUUUACCUCUGCCAUUUUUACCUCUGCCAUUAUUACCUCUGCCAUUUUUACCUCUGCCGUUUUUACCUCUGCCAUUUUUACCUCUCACAUUAUAACCCCUGCCAUUUUACCUCUGCCAUUAUUACCUCUUCCAUUUUUACCUCUGCCAUUUUUACAUCUGCCAUUUUUACCUCUGCCAUUUUAACAACUGCCAUUUUAACUCUGCCAUUUUUACCUCUGCCAUUAUUACCUCUGCCAUUAUUACCUCUGCCAUUUUUACCUCUGCCAUUUUUACACCGAGCCGAUUUUUCCGAACCUUUUUUUGACAAUGUCCCGUACGACACAUAAAAAUGCAAAAGUUUUUCCUACAAUUUUAUUUUUGAUGAUGCAAUUUCACGAUAUCAGUUUCUCUAUCUUUGACCCAUGGGUAAUCGAUUUAUCCCAUAAGGAUCUAAUUACUGCCCUUCAUUUUUCAAUAAUUGUCCUAUUAAAAGUUGUCCCGUACGACACACAAUAUAUACUGCAUUUAAUUGCAGGAUUUGGAUUCAGAAACUAUAAAUAGUAGGCCUAUUUUAAUUUAAGUAAUUGAUUUGACAUAAAGUGAACUGAGAAAGUACUUUAUUUAUCCACAUAGAACAUGAAAUAGGUGAUUCUAACCAUUUUAAUUGACUUCACGUAGGCGUAUUCUUUUGUGAAUCCCUUCAGCUAAACUGGUUAUUUUCACUGGUCAGAGCAGGUUAAUUUCUUUGUCAUUGAGCAUGAAAAGAAAACAUUUAUAAUUGAUUCACCCUAGCCUGGAAGAUGACUUCCUCUUGCAUACUAAUGUGAAAUUAUUAUAAGAUGUAGAUAAAAAAUAUUAACAUAUCAAUCAUCUAUGUGGACUUUCCUUGAUGAUCACUAAUUUUUUUAUAUACAGUAUUGAAACUCCUUACUUUUUUAAGUUGUGAAAAAAAAUCUGGAAAAUAUAACAAACCAUAUGGUUUCAUGAAAUGCAGAAAGGUUUGAAAAAGUAGAAUCGCAUUUCUUUAGAAAAAAAUCAUUUUGUGGAAUUUCAAGUGACAGUUGUGACAUAUCAUGUAUAUAUACAUUUUAUAUGAAAAAUCAUAACAAUUUGCCCCAUAAUUUACACAAACAGUUUCAUUCAUUCAUUGUUUAAAUAGUGCAUUGGAAAUCAUCAAUUGAUUCACGAAAAUAUAACUUCACACAAAACCUCAAGUUUUUCAGCUCGUAAAAAUGCUGUGAACCAUUGUACAUUUCCCAUCAUGAAAAAAAAUGAUCAUAUAUUGCUCCUGAUUGUAUAUAUUGAGGUUACUUAAUUAUAUUGUCCUGAAUGACUACUUGUUAAAAGGCUUUUUCAUUAAAAAGGAAGAAUUUAGGGACAAUGCUCCCCUUCUAAUUGAUAAAACGUUCAUUGUUUUAUUUAGGCUGUCCAAUACAACACGCAAGUGCCUGUUCAACACACGAGUGUCCCGUACGACACACAGGUGUCCCGUACGACACACAAGCGUCCCGUACGGACACACAAGUGUCCCAUACGACACAUUAUUUUAUUUAUGAUAUAUUGACAGAAAUAUUCAGCCAAAAGCGGUUUCUAACAUAAUGAAUGUCUUUAGUUUGAUAGGAUUAUCAUUAACAUCAGCCAAAUAAAGUGAUUGAAGAAGUCAAAGAGACAUAAAGUAGGAAAGUUUGGCUUCAAUUUAGAGAUGUCCCGUACGACACAAUGUUCUCGAAAAUUGUAAUUUGCUUUAUUUAUUCAUGAAUGUUUAUUUUGCUUUCUUUCAUAGAUGCGUUUGUUCUUGGGUAAUUGAAUAUUAAUUUAAGUUCGGUUUCUGUGAAAAUUAUAUGUUCAACUCACAGACUUUAGAGUACAGACUUGAGGUUUCUAAAAAAGCCACUUUUCUGCGUCCGUACGACACAUUACUAUUUUAAAUCUGUAUUAUACAUGAUGUGAAUUCCAGUCAUGUUAAGUCUUGGUUUUCCUAACACUCUGGUAGUACUUGAUGAUCACAUUUAGUUACUGGAAUAUUUUUUGUUUUUCUUGUCAAAAAAUGUCAAAUGUUCUCUAAAUGUACCGUACGACACGUAUGGAAUCACCCUGUAAGAAUGAGGCCCUGAAAAAAAAAUGCAUCCGAAAAUUAUUAUUUAGUUUCUAUAAAAAAAAAAAAAGGUUAAGAUAGAUUGACAGGAAACACCAUUCGAAUUUUAUGCCAUAUUCUUCAUGUAUUAGAUUAUUAGAUGCCAAGGAGUUAAAUUGAAUGAUGAUUUUUCUUUUCAGUCACAGAUAUCUUGACAGUUGUUCCAUGACUAUUGCUCCGGCGACAAUUGCUCCUAUGAAAAAUCUGCACGUUAAGUCAAACAUUAAACCUAACCUCCAAAACUAUAUAAACCCCAAUCCUUAUCUUUUAUUCUGAACCAAACAUUAUAACAAUCCUAACUCUCUAAUCCUAUGCCCUUUGAAAUAUUAAGACCGGAACAAAUGUCAAAGGAGCUGUCGUGUCACCCUUGAGGUUAUCUGCAUGAAUUUGAUUUUUUUUUUUUUUUUUUUUGGGGGGGGGGUAUUUUUAAAAAUCCAUAUUAUGAACAUUAUAAAAAAACAAUACACAUCAAAGUUCGGAUUUUUUUCGAGGUUCUUCAUGAAACGGGCACUUGUGGAGCAUUUCAUUAAAAGAUUUAUCAGCAUUUACCCUUUAGCCAAUCAGAUGAAAGGAUUUGUAGCUUAUAACAUCUGAUGACGAAUAUGAUGAAAAAUUAUGCAUGACCGUACACACUAAGAAAUAAAGGUGCAGUUUAGGGUUCAAUUUUGCGUUUAGCACCCCUAUCUCGACAAGGGUUGAAUAUUCCACCUUUACGGGUUCACUUUGUACAAACCAGGGUUCAAUUUCCAGAAAGGUUCAAUUUUGAACCUUUCUGUAUGGAUUAUUAGUCUUGUACAGAAACCUACAGAAAUGCGAUUAUUAUAUUGUUCACAUGUUACAGCCAGUAUCUCUUAUAAAAGUAAGUUGAUUCAAAGGUUGUUGAAAGAAAAUGAAGUCAAAUUACCAAAUAAUCAAUAUUAAUUAAUUUGCUACGUGAAUCCACGCAAACGAAACAUAAAAGUUAUAAUUCUCCGUAAAGAAAGUAACCGUACAUAGACUAAGUGGCUAGCCGGUGAUCAACCAAUCACGCAAAAGGAGACAAGGCGUCAAAUCGGUACUUUGUAAAAAUCAGUAAGAUCUACUUAUUCUUCAGGUAAGAUAUGCAUUUUGUAUCAUCCUGUCUGUUAUCUUCAUGAAUUAUCCGAGAUUAUAUUGUGAUUUAGUUGUACAUUUGAGUUCGUUAUAAGGUAACGACAGAUUUUGGAAAACGUUUUCACCGUGGAAGGCUCUAAUACCAAGGAGGUUUCAAACGAGAUGGAGUAACAGCAUAUAAAAUCUCUUUGAACAAGGUUAAAAGCCGCCAGCAGAAAGUAUGUCAGGCAUGCACUUUGCUCAACAUCUCUUGCAAUUGUGUAGACAAAUGAUUCCCGCAUGACUCGCAGCUAUAGGUCAUACAUAAAGGGAAAUAUGCUUUUGUGAUGAUAAUUACUUUUUCGCGGCAUCUUCAUGAUCUUGGUCUGGUUAUAUGUGUAGUACAUAAUUCGGAGGCAUGCGAAAAUAAACUAUGCAAUAUGUCCUGAAAUAUGACUCAAAUUUGCUCGACUGGGCAUGUGCGGGUACUCAAGUGGCAUAUACAGUAAUGAACAACAAUAUUCCACCGACCACAUUUGAAAUUUUUAUUCGCCGCAAACGAUCGGAAAAGUGUUAAAAUCUGGUUUCAGUAACGGUAAAAUUCUUUCUUUUUUCACCAAAAAAUUAAUUGAUUAUAGUUAAUUGAUAUAGUCUGGGCAAAUAUCUCGUCGUUAUAGUGCUUGGUUAUUGAUGUUUUGUCAUGCAUUCAAAUUUCAGUUUGUUUAUUAAUAUGAAAGAUUGAAAAUUGAUACAAAUUAAUAUUCGUAAAAUUUCACCCCUCGGAUUUCUUCAAUGAAACCGGCGGCUUCGAAGCUAGACAUCAAAAGGGUCCUUAUUGCCGUUCUUUCUUUUGAGCUUCUUUAGAAAUGAACAGCUGCUUGAAUAAAUUUGUUGACUGUUGGAACUCCAGUCAUAGAAUCUUCUUGCUAAUACGCUCUUUUUGCCGCCCGGACGUGUUUCAUAAUAACCCCGCCUAAAAUGAACGAGAUCGCGACGAACAGAGGAUCUAUCUUGCGCUUGUACACGCGAUAUAGUCUAUGUGCUUUUAAAUUUCAUGCAUUGCAGAUUCAACGUUGACAUUGUCUCACUUUUGUUUUACAUUUUUUUAAUGAUUGUAUUCAUAUACUGUACUUCGUAGGAGUAAAGAUCAAUGGGCUUGCAUGGUAGUUUGCUAUCAAGAUCAACAAAUUGCAAGUACUCUAGGUUUUUAUUGGUGUUAGUGCAUUUCAUUUAUAUUGUAUGUAUUCCAGUUAAUGCAUCUUACAGCACAGUGCAAGAUUGUGUGUACAUUCCCGUGUGUUGAUUAUGAUUAAUUUCGAGAGACCAAAGAUUUCUCAAUAAUAAAUUGCACACUCUAUCAUUCAUA